rnacentral:sRNA from 1 species
CUGCUGAGGGCAGAUAAAGUGAACAUGAGAGUCAAUGCCACCUGCAGUUACAAUCAGACCUUCACCUGAAAUUACCUCAGUGCCGGCACCGAUCUCAAAAUCAACACCAUUUUGCACAUCACUGUUACCUGCUUUGCCAAUAGCUGCAAUACGACCGUACUUAAUACCGAUAUCAGCUUUGUAAAUACCAGUGUAAUCAACAAUAAUGGCAUUGGUGAUAACAGUAUCUACAGUGUCUUUAUCGCACUUUUGACCUUGUCCCUGGCCAUCAC